UUUAAAUAAAUGGACUGUUUAUUUUUAUAUAUUUAUUUAUAUAUUUUUUAUUUCUUUUGUUAUUCAGGGACAUCCAAUUUAUUGGUUAACCCAACCUUACCUAACCAGCAUAAUUAUUAUUGAGUAAUAUUAUUCUUUUAUUUGAAUAAUGUAAUUGUAGUCAAAAGUUCUAGCAAAAAGAUUUUAAAAAUCAUAAUCUUUCAGAAAAUCUAAAUUAUUUUUACUGUAAUGUUAAAAAAAGUUAGAGCUGUUAAAGGUAACUAUAUUUCAUCUAUGUUAACUUUUAAUUGAACAUGGGAAUAGAGUAAAAAAUAAUUUUAUAUUUCUUUUUGUGCUUAUCAAGUGCAAUUUUUUCUGUUUAGCUGAUUCAAAAUAAUUUGAUAUUAAAAACUUAAAAUAUGAUAGAAAAGAAAAGAAAUGCUGUAUUGUUUAAUAAAGUAUAUAUCCAUUUAAUUUAAUCUAAGAUAAGAUCUUAUCAAAACUCAACAUUGAACACUUGAAAAUUUGAAAUGUCAGUAAUAUUACACUAGUGUUUUGUUGGAAUUCCGACACGGGAACAGGCGACAUAUAACUGGCCAUGGGAAAAACAUGGAUUUUCAAGACUGAUGCCAUAAACACUUAACGACUGCCCUUGAGAUUUAUUUAUCGACAUUGUAAAUGUUAGCCACACUGGAGAUUGCAACCAUUUAAAGUCGAAUGGCAUAUCGUUCGGAAUCAAAACGUCUUCGUCAGGGCCGGCGUAAGGCUAAAUGACGCCCGAGGCUAAAAUGCCAACUGGCGCCUUUUUCAUAUAAUAACCCUCACGAGUCACAACGACUCGAUCCUGAUUGAACAAUAACAGAUAUUUGGGAAUUAUAGCAACAUAUAUGAUAAAAUAUUCUACGCUAAACCAUAGUAAAUAUACUUAAAAUAUACUUAUAUUAUC